UUACGGCCAGAUCACGUUGAAACACUGGUUGUCGUACGAUCACCGAAGUUAAAGAACGUCGAUUCUGGUCAGUACCUAGAUGGGUGACCGCUGAUGAAUACUAGGUGCUGUAAG